rnacentral:tRNA from 1 species
GGGCGUAGCUCAGUUGGUAGAGCGUCAGCUUCCCAAGCUGAAAGUCGCGGGUUCGAGCCCCGUCGCCC